GGUGUACUCACUUUUGUGGCCAACAGUUCAGACAUUAAUGGCUGUGUGUUGAGUUAUUUUGAGGGGACAGCACAUUUACACUGUUAUUCAAGCUGUACACUCACUACUUUACAUUGUAGUGUAAGUUGUUUGUAACUAUUUCUGAGUGCUUUUUGAAGUGUGUUUCAGGUCAUUGUCCUCCUGGAAUACCCAUGACCUCUGGUGGAGACUUUUUUAUGCCUUUGUGUCAGCAGUGGGUAACAAUCCUUUGUUGUAAUUGUCCAUUAAUUUUGCUCUUCUGUCAAUGUCCAGGGAGGUUAGCUACAGUGCCAUGGGCUGUAAACCUCUUGAAGAUAUUGCGCACAGUGGACACAGGAACAUUAAAGUCCCCCUGUAGUAAUUUUUUUUUUUUUACCUUAAAACUCAUCUUUGAUCACUAAAAUGACAUUUUAAAAAAAUUCAAGUGAAAAAAAUUUCUUCAUACCCUAAAAUAACUUGACUGUAACUCUAUACCCUUGUCUCAUUUAAUAUACACAGAUCAAUGAAUAUGCAAAUUAGCCCCGCCUCCACUCGCUCACGGCAGCUCGGUGAGUAUAGGCUAUUGUUGCUGCAGUGACGAUUUGUUGUUUGUGUCUUCUCCGUACAUGAAAUAAAUGCACAUCCUUGAAUGAGCACGGAUUUACAGCGUAUUUACUUGAACUCAUCAGGUAGGCUAAUAUCUAUGGUUUGAUCCAUUCCAGAGGCCAGAAUAUGAAUUUAUAAUGGACUGAAUAUCUCUCUCAGAACUUGACGUGUGAUUCCACACUGACUGAAUAUGCACAUGAAUCACAGUCACAUGCUCACGCUCAGAGCAAUAUUGUUUUAGCUAUGUUUUAUAGUAUUAAAAUAUUUAGAAGGACAAAAACAUGAACUUUAUUGGCUUUACUUCAAGUCAGCUAUACUUAACUUUGGCGUGAGCCGCUAUGCGCUCGCACACUUGGCACAGCGCUUGCGACGGUUCUGUCAUUAAUUAAUAUGGAUUAAUAUGAUUAGCCUUUUGCUUGACUACGUUAUCAAACAGCUAAUAAUGUGUUGUUAAUGUUACACAAACCAUGUUCCUGUUCGAGAGUCAGACAGCUGCCUUCUAACAGUCAGUAUCCUUUCAAACACUUUGAAUAACUCAGAACGUCAGUGGAUUUUUCAUAUCAACAGAAUAUAUACCGGGAUAACCUGGCUUCUCUCGAGACUUUCCUGCUUCAGAGCUCUCUUAGUUAAUGAUAUGCUAAAGCCCGCCAGAACAUUGUUGUGAUUGGUUACGAGGUAGUCUGUGACAUCACAAACACCACCGAUUUCAAACCGUGGGUUUUUGAUUUACUGCAGUUUUAAACAUAAAAUACUCAGCAAUGGUGCUGACUUAUGAAUUUGCAUAUGGUUUGACUUAAAGCAUAUUAAAAACACUACAUAGAUAUAUAAACAACAUUAAAAACUUGAUUUUCACCACAGGAGGGCUUUAAGAUCUCUGGAGUUGGACUUGUAUCCUUGAGAUUGUCCAUGUUUUUCCACAAUUUUUUUCUUUACACUUCUUUCCUUUCUUCACUUCAUCCUCAGUGAGAGACACAACACAAAGGUUUAGUCAACUUUUCUCCACUUUAACUGGCUGCAAGUGUGAUAUAGCCACAUGUGUCUAAAUACAAAUUACAGGAGCAAUUAUUUCUUGAAAUUUUGUCAAGAUGCCAAUAAUUUUUUCCAGUCCAUUUUUUAGUUCUGUGAAAUUCUCAAGUUUGAGAAUUGGUGCUAGAACCACUGUCCCUCUGCCCUCAUCGGCUGAGGUGCCCGAGACCUUCUCGACCCCCUCCUCUCCCUUUGACAGGAUUUCCAUUAAAGUGUUCCGUUAUCACUCCGCUAAAGAUCCACUAAUUCUGUAAAUCCGCUCCGUGUUUUCCCGCUCGCUGCCCAGCAUCACUGAGAAGGGUCUGGCUGCAGACAUGCAAUCUCAGACAUGCAUGCGCAGUCCAACACAUGCAUUCUCAGACACGCAUGCGCACUCAGAUACAUGCAGUCUCAGCCGCACUUGCGCAGUCCAACACGUGUUCUCAAUCACGCAUGCGCAGUCCGACACACAUUCUCAGCAGCUCGUGGACACGCAGAAACAGACACAUGCGUUUAAUGCACAUACAGGCUACUUGUAAGUAUAUUUAUGUACAAUUUUUGUACAAUUUUUUUGUGUAAAUUAAAAGAGUUGUUCAUUAUUUGGUAAAUGUUAUCAAAAACGAUCCUGAUAUUUAUCUGGUAUAUCUCACAUGCACAGGUGUUGGCGGUAUGCACGUGUUUAGAGGAGUCGACGACCAUUAAAUAAUUGAUAUGCAUCAAUCAAUAGUUCUAGCUGGUGUAAAUCAGCUGAUAUCAAAAUGCACAUCUUGUUGCACAUUGUAUCAUUGCCCCUUGUGCCCUUCACUGAAGCCAAUGACUCAGAAGAAAGUUCAGGCUCACUGGACAGUCCAUAUUAAAAAUGCAAUCUUUUUCCAAGGUAAGAUGGGUGUGAUAAGUUUUUUUUUGUAAGCACUUCAAAAAGGGUACUAAUAAGCAAAAGAGAGACUGUUCAAGACAUAUUUCAAACAUUCUUGCACACACUAUCAAACUCUCUCUUGACCGUUAGUGUAAUGUCUCUCACACUCUAUCAAAGAUUUUCAUGCAUGCUAUCAAACUCUCAUUCAUUACUAUACUAUUUCUCAUACACUAUCAAAGCUUUCACCCAAACUCAUUCACAAACAUACUAUCAUCUCUCUCACUAUCAAGCUCAUUGUCUGUGUAUCAUCCUUUUCUUUUCUUUUUUUUAACAUUCAAGAUGUUUAUUUAUCUUCUGCCCCUGAACAAAAAACAAGACAAAAAAAAAUUAAGGUAGCGUGUAUGAGAGUACAAUUUGAAAAAAUUUCUUGAACAUCCUCUCAAUAAUUUCUAGACAAAAGAGUAUGCAAAUGCCAUUUGGCCUGCAGAACAGAGGCCCAUUAUCAUUGCCCUACUUGCAGUAAAACUGUUCUUAGAAGAAACGCAAUGAAGGCUCACCUGCAUCGGCUCCUUGUAUAUCGACACCUACACCUUCACUGGCUCUGUGCUGCUCCUCACCUGCGCCAGGACCUGCAUCGGCUCCUUGUAUAUUGUUAUUGAUAGCCACGCCCUGUCUCAUUAGAAUAAUGCAACUUUGAGACUGAAAGUACAUUUCCUGUCUGCAAGAGUAACAGAUAAAAAAAAGACACAACUACAGAAAUUAAUUUGAAAAUGUUUAUUGAAAUAUAUAAGAGACAAAAUAGUAACAAAUAGACAGAUUGGUAUUUGUUUGUACAAGAAUGGUAUAUUUGUGCGAAAAUAAUAUUUGUUUGUAAGAGAAUGGUAUAUUUGUACGAGAUUAAUAUUUGUUUGUACGAGAAUGAUAUAUUUGUGCGAAAAUAAUAUUUGUUUGUACGAGAAUGGUAUAUUUGUACGAGAUUAAUAUUUGUUUGUACGAGAAUGGUAUUUUUGUACGAGAUUGAUAUUUAUGUAAACAGAGAUGAUCAGGUGAUCAGGUAAACAAAAGAUGUGAUCACAUCAAAACAAUGUAGAAGAGAAAAGAGUCCAAUAGCAUACAUAUAUUAACCAUUAAAGAAUGAACAGACAA